CACGUAGGGUGCGAGCGUUGUCCGGAAUUAUUGGGCGUAAAGAGCUCGUAGGCGGUUUGUCGCGUCGAAUGUGAAAACCCGGGGCUCAACUCCGGGCCUGCAUUCGAUACGGGCAGACUAGAGUUCGGUAGGGGAGACUGGAAUUCCUGGUGUAGCGGUGAAAUGCGCAGAUAUCAGGAGGAACACCGGUGGCGAAGGCGGGUCUCUGGGCCGAUACUGACGCUGAGGAGCGAAAGCGUGGGGAGCGAACAGG
rnacentral:rRNA from 1 species